rnacentral:tRNA from 1 species
GCGCCCUUAGCUCAGAUGGAUAGAGCGUCGGACUACGAAUCCGCAGGUCGGGGGUUCGACUCCCUCAGGGCGCGCCA